UACGAAGGGGGCGAGCGUUGUUCGGAAUCACUGGGCUUAAAGCGUACGUAGGCGGGAAAGAAAGUCAGAAGUGAAAGCCCAGGGCUCAACCCUGGAACUGCUUUUGAAACUUCUUUCCUAGAAUCCGACAGGGGUUAACGGAAUUCCGAGUGUAGAGGUGAAAUUCGCAGAUAUUCGGAGGAACACCAGUGGCGAAGGCGGUUAACUGGGUCGGUAUUGACGCUGAGGUACGAAAGCGUGGGUAGCAAACAGG
rnacentral:misc_RNA from 1 species